UGGGGAAUAUUGCACAAUGGGCGCAAGCCUGAUGCAGCAACGCCGCGUGAGGGACGACGGCCUUCGGGUUGUAAACCUCUUUUGGCAGGGAAGAAGCGAAAGUGACGGUACCUGCAGAAAAAGCACCGGCUAACUACGUGCCAGCAGCCGCGGUGAUACGUAGGGUGCAAGCGUUGUCCGGAAUUAUUGGGCGCAAAGAGCUCGUAGGCGGUUUGUCGCGUCUGCUGUGAAAACCCGAGGCUCAACCUCGGGCCUGCAGUGGGUACGGGCAAACUAGAGUGCGGUAGGGGAGAUUGGAAUUCCUGGUGUAGCGGUGGAAUGCGCAGAUAUCAGGAGGAACACCGAUGGCGAAGGCAGAUCUCUGGGCCGUAACUGACGCUGAGGAGCGAAAGCAUGGGGAGCGAACA
rnacentral:rRNA from 1 species